UGCCGAAACCCGGAAUCGAAGCAGGGCCCUUAAGAUUUUAAGUCUAACGCUCUUCCAAAUGAGCUAUUUCGGU